GAGGGCAUAGCUCGGUGGUAGAGUGUGUGCUUAGCAUGCACGAGGCCCUGGGUUUAAUCCCCAGUACCUUUA
rnacentral:tRNA from 1 species